rnacentral:rRNA from 1 species
UACGGGGGGGGCAAGCGUUGUUCGGAAUUACUGGGCGUAAAGGGUGCGUAGGCGGUUCGUUAAGUUAGAUGUGAAAACUCUGGGCUCAACCCAGAGCCUGCAUCUAAUACUGACGGGCUAGAGUUCUGGAGGGGGUAGCGGAAUUCCUGGUGUAGCGGUGAAAUGCGUAGAUAUCAGGAGGAACACCGGUGGCGAAGGCGGCUACCUGGACAGAAACUGACGCUGAGGCACGAAAGCUAGGGGAGCAAACAGG